rnacentral:rRNA from 1 species
GACGAACGCUGGCGGCGUGCUUAACACAUGCAAGUCGAACGAUGAAGCCGGAGCUUGCUCUGGUGAAUUAGUGGCGAACGGGUGAGUAACACGUGAGUAACCUGACCUUGACUCUGGGAUAACUGCGGGAAACUGUAGCUAAUACCGGAUACGACCCUCGGAGGCAUCUCCUGGGGGUGGAAAGAAUUUCGGUCAAGGAUGGACUCGCGGCCUAUCAGCUAGUUGGUGAGGUAAAGGCUCACCAAGGCGACGACGGGUAGCCGGCCUGAGAGGGCGACCGGCCACGCUGGGACUGAGACACAGCCCAGACUCCUACGGGAGGCAGCAGUGGGGAAUAUUGCACAAUGGGCGCAAGCCUGAUGCAGCAACGCCGCGUGAGGGAUGACGGCCUUCGGGUUGUAAACCUCUUUUAGCAGGGAAGAAGCGAAAGUGACGGUACCUGCAGAAAAAGCACCGGCUAACUACGUGCCAGCCGCCGCCGUAA